rnacentral:rRNA from 1 species
CAGUCGCCGCGGUAAUACGUAGGUGGCAAGCGUUGUUCGGAAUUACUGGGCGUAAAGCGCACGUAGGCGGAUAUUUAAGUCAGGGGUGAAAUCCCAGAGCUCAACUCUGGAACUGCCUUUGAUACUGGGUAUCUUGAGUAUGGAAGAGGUUAGUGGAAUUGCGAGUGUAGAGGUGAAAUUCGUGGAUAUUCGCAGGAACACCAGUGGCGAAGGCGGCUAACUGGUCCAUAACUGACGCUGAGGUGCGAAAGCGUGGGGAGCAAACAGGAUUAGAUACCCCCGUAGUCCCUGUCUCUUAUAC